AUCUCCAUGGCCCAGCAAGGCCAAGAUAAAUCUACCACCCCAGGCACCUGUGAGCCAACAGGUUAAUUAGUCCAUUAAUUUUAGUGGGACCUGCAUAUGUUGAAAAUUACCAAUACUGACUGACAUGUGAUGCUGACCUAUGAUAAGGUUGAGUAUUUAUUAGAUGGGAAGGGAAAUUUGGGGAUUAUUUAUCCUCCUGGGGACAGUUUGGGGAGGAUUAUUUAUUGUAUUUAUAUUGAAUUAUGUACUUUUUUCAAUAAAGUCUUAUUUUUGUGGCU
rnacentral:lncRNA from 10 species